GCCACAACAAUCAACAUGAAGCCCGUCGUUGUGCUCUUAGGGGUGGUGGUCAUCAGCGCUGCCGUAUCGGCUAAAAUUUGUAAACAGUAUAAAACGGGGUCAGCACAGCGAAGAGCCACAACAAUCAACAUGAAGCCCGUCGUUGUGCUCUUAGGGGUGGUGGUCAUCAGCGCUGCCGUAUCGGCUAAAACUUGCGUCAAACCGGGCCUGUGUCCCACUCACCGGCUGAUAUUCGCCGUCGCUUCACGGAGAGACCAUUGCUUCAAUGACUGCCAGUGCCGCAGCAACUGGAAGUGUUGUCGGACUUCCUUCGGCAAACGCUGUCUGCCACCAUGUCUCCCGACGUGCGCGUUUUCUGAGUUGUGCGCGCUGAUAACCCAGAUAUAUCCGUGGCAUAGUAUCUGCGUCCCUCGCCCUCAUAUCAAGAAGGGCUAGCUGUUACGCUGGGAAUGACAGAUGUAACGACGACGAGCAGAAGCCGAUCAGAUCAGAUUCCAGACAGACAGGCAGACAGACAGACAAAUGCAACUGUUGGGAUUCCGGCAGCUGGAGGGCAGACAUUGCCGUUUGGUAGAGGGCGUCAGCUGUUGCACGGCUGUCAUAGCUGGGAGCUUCAGGGAAAUUUGUACACUGCGGCUCUGAGAUAGGGUUUCAAUGCAUCGCAGUGCCCUGUUCCUGCACUUAUCUUUGCUUCUGCACCUGUGUGUGCACUGAGUGACAAAACGUGAAUGUUGCUCAGCUUUAUUCAUACCUAGAUGUGUUCUGAUGUGAAAUACAUGCGUUAAGCUUGA